rnacentral:misc_RNA from 1 species
GUGUCACAAACAUAAUACGAAACACGCAGUGGCUGGCUGGCUGUUGCAUAAAUUUUCGGACGAUUCAUUGCAACCCACGGAAAAUGGACAAAGCUUUGCUUCACUUAACGAGAUGUGGCUAAUUGAGAGAAGAAAUUUGAGGAGAAGUUUACUGAAUUCUAGAAUCUGCAGUGCUUGAUUCUUUCAGUUAUAAAUUACUACAUCGUAAGGAUGCGAUCGAAUUAAAUUAAAGCGAACGAUGAAGAACAAGAUGACACGAUUUUGUACUUGAGGAGGCUCCGCUCAUGGUCGUCGCGUAGCGCGUUUCAAGGCCGAGGAUAACUACGCAGAACGAAAGAGCGAAAGUCAGGGUCCUGGUGACAAGGUGCCACCACCCGACAAUAAUUCACAAUGAUCGUAUCGAACGAAACACGUACUCGAUAUCAAACGGUCGAUUUGACUUGUUUCCAGGGUGCAGCGAAAUAGAACAGAACCGCCUUAUCUUCCGCAUAAAUUUCCUUUAUCAACUAGGCGUUCUCCUAGCGUUGAAACAGAAAUAUUAUUGCUUAAGGUUCUCAAAUAUGUAUAUACAAAAUGCAAGAUAUAUGGAAAUAUUCGAGGGAAAAGUCUCUAAACAUCAUUGCUUUGAUUAUAAAAAUAAUAUAUUAUAAAAUGAUAUGAAAUAUUUUUUUCACUCACCGAAACGAUUGCUCGUCGAUACUGUUUCCGGCUCUGAAACACGAACAAAAAGAACUUUUAUAAACAUAUUUUAAAUGGAAAAUAAAUUGUUCACAAAUUAAAAAUACACACGAACCUUAAUAAAAUAUUC